rnacentral:lncRNA from 1 species
UUUUUUUUUUCUAAUAAGUGAUGAAGUUGAAAGAUAUUCUUAUGAAUUUUUUUUAAUUAUUCUUUUAUGGAUUUGAAUUUCAAAAAACAUGUUUUGAUAAUUAAAUUCUAAAUUUUGAAAAAUAACAAAAAAGUAUUUUCACCUUUUUUCACUCCAAAUUACUCACAAAUAAAUUUAUUUUUUUUAAAAAUAACUUCAAUAUGUAUUCAUAGCCAACACAACUUAAAUAAAAUAUUAUUUUUUAUUUUAAAAAUAAAAAUGACUUUUAAAAAAAAAUCAUAAUAAAACAACCACAAAUAUCCCCUUGGGGUGUGAUAAUUAGAUUUUUUUUUCUCUCUCAUCUAUUGGAGAAGAAGUUCCUCUUUUUCUUAAAUAAUCUUAUUUUUCCUUCUUUUUUUCAUGUCCAAUUAGAGAUGGAUAUGAUACAAUAUACUAAAAAAAAAUUAUUAUUUUUUUCGAAAAUACUAUACUUCCUCCGGUUCAUGUUAAAUGAAUAUUGAGGUUUGAUAUCCUUCUUACAAAAAAAAUACUUAAAGACAUAAAUAAAUAAUUUUUUCAUUAUUAUUUUCAAACUAUUCUUCUAAAAAUUAUGAAGUAUUUAAAAACUUCAUUAAAUAAAGGAUAGAUUGAAAAAAAAAAAUCUAUUCCCUCUAUCCAACAAUAGUUGUCCACUAUUGACUUGUAGUAGGGAUAAAUAAGCAAUAAAUGAUAGGGAUAAUUUACCAAAUCACCCUUAUUAAAUAUAAAUCAUCUAAACAUUGAAAAAAAAAGAAUAAUAUUUAAUAGUAAGGGUAAAUAGACAUAACAUGAUAAAUUACUCAUUGUUUUUGUAAACUUGACAAUUAUUGUUAAACAAUCCAAAAUAAUAUAGUGAACAAAUAAAGAUGGACGAAGCGAAUAACAUUUUUUUAGAAUUUUAAAUAAUUUACUUAUUUUGAAAUGUAAAAAAAAUUACAACAAUUCACGUAAUAUAGACCUACAGAGGUGGAGCCACCUUGAGUUCAGGGGUUCAUCCGAACCCCCUUCGGUAAAAAAAUUAUACUUAUAUGUGAUUAAAAUAAAUUUUUAUUUAUAUAUAGUAGAUGUCAGUUACCUUCAACUAGUUUAUGUGUCUACUUUUCAGAUUUUGAACCGAUUAAUGAAAAUUCUGACUCCACCACUAUAUAUCUGAAAGAAAAAUAGUACUACAUAUUCACUUCCACAAAAAGAAUGCAUAAAUCUCGUACACUAAUAUCACAUCCCCACCCAAAUUGUCAAAAAGAAAACAUGAAAAAGGACAAGUCUUUUUUAAUGCCCAUAAUGGUUUUAAUUGUCUUGUCAUGCGUAUGGGUUAUUAUUAAAGGUAACCCACCCACAAAUAGACAAAGUAUGUACAUUAAAUUUAAUAGGUAAAUGAAUUGCACCUUUUUCCAAUCUUUUUAGGAAUUUUCACAAGAUUCUCCUCCAUCCACACAAUAAAGUGUUUGGUCACCCUUAACCCUAGGAGAUCCCUUUGAAUCUUCUUUUCCCACUCUAUCUUUCAUUCUUUAUCUCUUUCGACCUCCUUUUAUUUAUGAAGUACAGAUAAAAUCUGCGUACAUCACAUUUUCAUCAAACAUCUAUUGUGGAAUGAUAUUAUAAUGCGUUGUUGUUAUUUCUAAAAUAAGUAUGCUUGCAACAAAUUUAAAUAUAUGAAAAACAAACAAAUCAACCACAAGUAAAAUCUGAAAAAACGUGAAUAUUUUAUUAAUAAGUAGUGUCAAUUAUGUUCCUCCUUGAUUCUUCCUCCGUGAGUUGAUUUUUGAUCUCCUGAUCUUUGUAAAUAUUCCACAUAAUAUUGAAGAUGUAUUUUCAAAUAAAUAUAAGUCCUUUUAUAUAGGAUUCAAAAACCCUUAUUCAAAUUAAACAUCUUAUAAAGUUUCAAUUAGAAUUGAAUACAUCAGAGUUCCACGAAUUUUCAAGGUAUGGUACCAAAUAUCCUUUUCAUUAAAGUCCUUGUCAAUGAAAUUUCAAUAACCAAAAAAUAAUAGAAAAAGGACAAGUCAAGCUUGACGGUUCCAUAAUAAUAGUAAAGUUGAGUUAUAUGUACAAAGAUAAGUGCAUAUAAAGUCAAAGAUAGAAAACUAGAAAAUAAUAAUAAAAAGAGUCCAUGUUCACAUUAUCUUCAUACACAACCACCCAUUUUACCCUAAAAAAAUCCACUUUUUUUCUUCUUUUUUCCUUUUUCUCUUUUCACAAACACCCUAAUAUUAAUUUUCUAAAAUAUAAAAUAGAACAUUCAAAGGACAAAUAUAUAAUAAUAAAUUAAAAGAUAAAUUUCUUUUUUUCCCUUUUUCUAA